rnacentral:lncRNA from 10 species
GCCAGGGAGCACCUCCCCACCUUGGCUCCCUUCUCCUGCGGGUGCCUCCCGGUCCCUCCUCCCCUGCCCGAGGUCUGAAGGUGGGAAUCUCCAACGCCCCUCUUUUACCAGGGAAGGAUUUGGCUCCUCUAGUCACAGCUGAAAGAGGUCAGGGGCGCCCCGUGCGUGUUUUGUCGAGGCUGAGCUGAGGGUCUGAGACUCCACCUCUUCAUGGCCUCUUGCCCCAGAGCCUCCUUGGAGAGAGGAGCUCCCCCAGGCACGUCUUGAGGAACACACCCGGUGGGACCCAGGCAUGGGCCAGUCUAAGAGGGGACCAAAGGGAAUGAGAAGCCAGCACGAGGCAAAAUUCCUCCGCCUCAGACAACAGCACCGAAGAAAUGAUUUCUCUGAGUCCGGGGAACCUGAGUCUGGGGCUCCACGCUGAGCAGAUUUGCCUCAGGACUCUGAGCCUUGGUUUGCUUGUCUGUAAAACGGACGCUUUGGACUAGACGCUGUUUGGGUUCACCCAGACCCUAACCUCAUCUGUAGUUUGCCUCAAUCUCUAGCUCAGAUGGCCAGAGUCCUGGGGUGGCUGGGCCCAUGUUUACCUCCCUUUCUGGCCAGUAUAGGUUUUCGGAAGUGUUUCCAGAACACGGGGUCCCAGGUUGGUCACUAGAGCCUCUGUUGCUGCAGAAGGUGGCUUUCUCCCAGGAGUGCUCACGGGGCACCCCUGGAGUCUCCAACAGUCAGCUGAGAUGGGACUGGGGGUCACACAGGGAAGGGCCGCCAGGACGGGAGCGCUGAGCUCCUCCAGCAGCUGCUCCCUGACAGGCUCCUGGAAACCUGUGCCUCAGCCUGGACUCCUGCCUUGGGCCUUUUCACUAGGGCCCCAUGGGGCUGCGGCCUCCUGCCUGGACCCCGCCUGAGAGGUGCUCGGGUUUCUCUUGCCUGUCCUCCCUGGAGGUGGACAAUGGGUUGGGCCUGGCCUUCACUCCUCCUUACGGAGGGGGCUCAGGUUGGAGCACACGGGUCGUCACUGUCCCUCCCAUUAGCACUUGCUGGGAGGCAGGCCAGCAGGAGUCCUCUUACAGAACAAAUGGGGAAACCAAGGUUCAGUGAGGUGGCUGAUUGGCCCUUGGACCUCUGAAGUGGACCCUUCCCCUUGGAGAGCACCUGCCCCCAGCCCACUCCAGGUCUGAGGCUCCUGGCCACCCACCCCUGCAGGGUGCCUGUGGCUGUGGGCCUCCUGGGAGGCCAGAGGGGGCCAUUUGUGAGCAAAACUUCCAGGCCGGGCCCCUGGGCUCACUAGGACACUGCAGAACAGCUGCCACACACAGCCACGAAGCUAUGCAGGAGAGGGCUGUGCACGGUCCCACUGGCCUGGCCUCUCCAUCUCAAGCUUUGCCUGUACCUGGGCAAGCCUGUCAAGAGACACACAGGUCACCUUCAUGGCCCCCCAGUGGGUCCCCUUUUUAAAAGGAAGAAAAAUGGGCAGAAUUUCUAAGUAGCAGAUUUCACUGGGGGAUUUUAAGUGAUACUCUGUGAAUGAGACUCUUUCACAGAACUUCUGGUUUGAAUUAUCACAUUUAGAUCCAAGAGCUCAAGGAAACUGAGGCUGUGUGGCUGCUAGGGAUCACCUGCUCUAGUAAUUCCAAAACCAGGAAUGGGGUAGUCAUGAAAAUACAGAUUCUGAGCCCUGCCACGGGCCCCUAACUGAGAAUCUCUGGGGUUCUCUGGGGUUAGGACAAGGAACUUGGCCUUGUAACAGAAGUCCCAGAAGGGCCAGGAGCAGUGGCUCACACUUGUCAUCCCAGCACUGUGGGAGAUUGAGGUGGGUGGAUCACCUGAGGUUAAGCGUUCGAGACCAGCCUGGCCAACAUGGUGAAACCCCAUCUCUACUUAAAAAAAAAAAACAAUCAGCCAGGUGUGGUGGCGCAAGCCUGUAAUCCCAGCGCACUGUAAUCCCAGUGAAUCUCCUGAGGCAGGAGAAUUACUUGAACCUGGGAGGCGGAGGUUACAGGGAGCUGAGAUCAAGCCACUGCACUCUGGCCUGGGCGACAGAGCGAGACUCCGUCUCAAAAAAAAAAAGUUCCAGAAGGGGGACUGUCAGGUCACUGGUUCCUGAGGACUGCUCAUCUAGUCCGAGGCCUGCGCCUUAUAGAGCAGCCCAUAGCCCGUGCAGAGCGCAGAGCUGAUGUCCCAUAGCCCGUGCAGAGUGCAGAGCUGAUGUCCUGUAGCCUGUGCAGAGCGCAGAGCUGAUGUCCAGCGUGGCUUCUGUCACCAUCAUGCUAUGAUUUCUGCACCUGCACCCCUCCUGCCACACUCCCCUGCACUCAGGGGAUCCAUGGCAUUGCUGGGGCUGGCCCACAGGCCCGGCUUGACUCCAGAGGUGCCCAACACCAUGAAAUUGCAUAGUCCUUAGACAUUUACUGGCGACCUACUGUAUGUUUUGGGCCCUGCCCAUGGCCAGGGAGUCAGAGGAGGCUUCUCUUACAGAAGUAGCCCAGAAGGGUCUUGCUGAGCAGACAGAACUUUACGGCCGCUGAGUUCUGGUUGUUCUGGGAAUAGUGAGGUAGAGCUAUGGACAGGGAGAAAUGCUUCUAAAUGUCCUCUAUAGUGAGAGUCUGGUUUGGUUACUGCAUGUAGCAAUUACUAAUAUUUGUUGAAUACAAGAAAGAAUGAACAAAGCUGGAAGGGUAAGUUGGAGGCAGGUCAUGGAAGGUUGUGGAACACCAAGCCGAAGAGCUUGAACUUCGUUCCAUGCAGACAAUGAAGAGCUCUGGGGUAUGGGGUGAACCAACCUCAUCUGUGCUUUGGGAAGAUCACACUGGCGGUUGCAGUGUGGUGCACGACAGUGUGUGCUGAAUGGAAUGAGUGACACAGGUCCCCCGACCCUGUGGGAACCCUGUGGCUCCCAGGGGCCCAGGAACCAAACUCAAGGUUUUCACCAGCAGGGGCUGAGGCCGGCACCAUUGGCUUCAACUUGGUAGAGCACAGGGCUGACACACAGCGGUCUCCAGGACCCAGAGACCGCCUGGGAAAGGGCAUCUUUCACCUUCGCUGCACCUGUUCCCAGCUGAAAGCAGCUUGAGGGGCUUGUCCCCAGACUCAGCCCUGCUGGAGCCUCCAGGGGCCCCACUGUCACUGGGCCCCAGAAAACCUGGGCCAAGACUUCCAUUUCAAACAUCCAUCGAGCAAGUGCAGUCAAAUAAACGCCCUCACACCAGCCAGUGGGAGCGCAGAGUGGUAAAGUCCUUCUAGAAAGCAAUUAGUGUUUACAUGCAUUCACCCAGGAAACCUGGUUUUCAAGACAUCAAUCUAAUGAAAUAAUUAGAUAUAGAUUUAGGGAUAAAGAUGUUCAUGUAGGCAUUGUUUAUGAUAAUGAGGAACUAGGAAACUAUCCAGAUGUUUAACAAUAGGGCAACGGCUAAGUAAGUUGUAUUCUUCAAUAUGAUGCAAUGUUAAACACUUACAAAACUGGGUUUUAAGGAGUAUUUAAUGUUGUGGGAAAAGCUUUAGGAUAAUUUUUUUUUCUUUUUGAGACAGGGUCUUGUUCUGUCCCCCAGGCUGGAGUGCAGUGGCAUGAUCUCUGCUCACUGCAACCUCCACCUCCCAGGCUCAAGCGAUCCUCCCACCUCAGCCUCCCGAAUAGCUGGGACUACAAGCAUGUGCCACCACACCCGGCUAAUUUUUGUAUCUUAUUUGUAGAGACAGGGUUUUGCCAUGUUGCCCAGGCUGGUCUCAAAGUCCUGAAAGAAAGAGAUGGGCUAAAUAGACUUGUAACAUGUUAAAAAAAAAAAAAACUGUAUUAGUAAUUUUAUAACUUCCCACAAAGAAAAGUCUAGGCCCAGAUAGCUUCACUGGUAUAUUCUGGCAAACAUUAAUGAAGAAACAAAACCAAUACUUCACAAACUCUUUCAGAAAAUAGUAGAGAAAGAAUCACUUACCAACUCAUUCUAUGAAGUCAGUAUUACCCUGAUACCAAAACCAGGUAAGGCUACUACAAGAAAAUAAAACUACAGAAUAUCUCUUAUGACUAUAGAUGCAAAAAUCCUCCACAAAAUGCUAGCAAACUCAAUCCAACAACAUGUAAAAGAAUUAUACAUCAUGACCAAUUGGGAUUUAUCCCAAGAAUGCAAGAAAAUCAAUUAAUGUAAUAUACCAUAUAGAGUAAAGAACAAAAACCACAUGGUCAUCCCAACAGACACAGGAAAAUGCAUUUGACAAAACUGAAUGCCCAUUCAUUACAAAAACUCCCAACAACUUAGUAAUAGAAGGAAACUUCCUCAACUUAAAAAAAAAGGUUUACUGAAAACCUCUAACUAACACCAUUUUUCACAGCAAAAGACUGAGUGCUUUCUCCCUAAGAUUGGUAACAAGGCAAGGAUAUUCACUCUCUCCACCUCUAUUCAGCAUUCUACUGGAAGUUCUGGACUGUACAAACAGGCAAGUAAAAGCAAAUGAAUAGGAUUGGAAAGAAAGAAGCCAAACUGCCUUAAUUAGCAGACGACAUGAUUUUGUAUGUAGAAAAUCCUAAAGAAUACCCACACAUGUACACACGCACACAUAUGCACAAACUACUAGAAGUAGCAAACAGGUUUAGCAAGGUCAUGGGUUAUAGAUCAAUAUACAAAAAUCAGGCUGGGCACGGUGGCUCAUGCCUAUAAUCCCAGCACUUUGGAGGCAGAGGCGAGUGAAUUGUUUGAGCUCAGAAGUUUGAGACCAGGCUGGGCAACAUAGUGAAACCCUGUCUCUACAAAAAAUACAAAAAUUAGCCAGGUGUGCUGGCGGGUACCUGUGGUAGCAGCUAGUCAGGAGGCUGAGGUGGGAGGAUUGCUUGAGCCUGGGAAAGUGGAGGUUACAGUGAGCCAAGAUCAUGCCACUGCACUCCAUUCUGGGGAAUAGAAUGAGGCCCUAUCUCAAACAAACAAACAAAACCAAAACCCAAAAUUAAUUAACAAGCCAAAAAUAAAAUAAUAAAGCAAUUUAACUCACAAUGGCAUCAAAAGAAUAAAACACUUAGGAAUAAAUUAAACAUAGAAGCAUCAUACUUGUCCACCAAACACUAUAAAACAUCCCUGAGAGAAACUAAAGGUUUAAAUAAGUGAGGAUAUAUUCCAUGUUCAUGGAUUGGAAGACUCAAUAUGGUUAUGAUGGCAGUUCUCCUCAAAGUGAUCUGUAGAUACAUUGCGAUCAUUAUAAAAAUCUCAGCAAGCAUUUUUGCAGAAAUUGACAAGCUAAUUCUAUAAUGUAUAUGAAAAUGCAAAAAACCCAGAAGAGCCAAAACAAUUUUGAAAAAGAAGAAAAGAGUAGGAGAAUUCACACUUCCUAAUUUCAAAAUUUAUUGUAAAUCUAUUGUAAUAAAGACAGUGUAGUACCGGCAUAAAGAUAUGUAUGUGUGUGUGUAUAUGUAUACACAUACAUAAAUAUAUAUAUGGAACUGGAUUAAGAGUUCAGAAAUAAAACCUUACAUUUAUGGUUAAUUGCUUUUGAACAGAAGUACUGAGGCUAUUCCAUGGAGAAAAAGAAUAGCUUUUUAACAAAUGAUGCUGGAAUAAUUGUAUACCCACAUGCCAAAAGAAGCAUUCAGAUCCUUACCUCACACCUUAUAAAGAAAUUAACUUAUAAUAGAUCCUAGACCUAAGUGCAAGACCUUAAACUAUAAAACUUUUAGGAAAAAACAUAGAAUACAAUCUUUAUGACCUUGAGUUAGGCAAAGAGUUCUCAGAUACCAAAAGUGCAAGUGGUAAAAGGAAAAAAUUGAUAAAUUGGACUUCAUCAAGAUGAAAACCUUUUGUGCUUCAAAAGACAACAUUAGGAGAAUGGAAAGACAAGCCACAGACUAGUAGAAAAUUUUUAUAAAACAUAUACCUGAUGAAGGACUUCUACCCAGAAUAUAUGAAGAACUCUUACAACUCAAUAAGACGACAUACAACCCAAUUUUAAAAAUAGGCAAAAUAUUUGAAUAGGCAUUUUACCAAAAAUACAAAUAAAUGGCUAAUACACAUAUGAUCAAAACCACUAGUCAUCAGGGAAAUGCAUCUUAAAACCGCAGUGAGAUACCACCUCACGCUACCUAGAAUGUCCAUAAUCAAAAUCGUACAGCAACCUCGAAAAAAAUGGUUUGUCGGUUUCUUAAAAACUCAAGUGUAAUUUUCCCAUACAACCCAGGAAUUCCCCCCUGCCCACCCCCCUGGGAAACUACCCAAUGGAAAUGAAAAGGUCUGGCAAUACAAAAAGUUGUAAACAGAUUGUUAUAGCAGUAUUGUUCAUAACAACCAAAACAUCCAAAUGUUCAUCAACCGAUGAGUAUAUAAACAAAAUGUGAUAUAUGUAGAUGUACCCUAGAAUUGUAUUCAAGAAGAAAAAGGAAGAAACUGAUACAUGUGACAACAUGGAUGAACCUCGACAAACACUAUAGUGAGUGAAAUAUGCCAGACACAGAAGACUUCAUAUGAUAUGAAAUGUCUGGAAAGGCCAAAGCUCUAGAGACAGUAAGCAGGUCAGUGGCUGCCUAGGGCUUAUGGGAACAGAGAUGGACUGCAGGUGGGAAGGAGGGAUCUUUUUGGGAUGAUGGAAAUGUUCUAAAACUGCAUUGUGGUGAUGGUUACAUAACUGUAAAUUUGCCAAAAAUCAUUAAAUUAUGCACUUAAAACAAGUGAAUUUUUCACUAGAUGGAAAUUAUACUUCAUUAACCGUAUUAAAACUGUAUUCAUCCUGCUCUAGAAUUGAUGGUCUCAGAUGAUGAAUAAGGGUGGAUAAAUAGGGACACUUAAAUUGGGAGCCUUUCUUACAACGUUGAUGGUUGUUUGUGUGUGUGUUUGUUUUUUUCCCCAAGUUUCAAUCUCCACUGAAAUGCCACACCAAUGCUUGGAUUUAUA